UCUAGUGUUUUGGGCCUAUAACGUUAUCUUAAGGUAACUGAAUUUGCUUUUAUUUUAUUCACUGGUAAGAUCCACUUUCCUGAGAUAUUUCCUAAGAUAUUUCCUAAGGUAACAUUUUCCUGAGAUAACUUCAUACAUUGUUUACAAUAUAUGCUUCUGACUGGACUCUAGUUUUCCACUUAACUCAGUUAUUCAGAUACUAAACAUGUAUCUGGCUGUUUGUUUUGGUAUACACAUUUUCCCACGUUCUUUCUUUCCUUUUGUAUAGCCUGUAGAGGAUAAAAUCCAAAGUAACCCAUUCAUCAAGCGUCCUCUGAGUUGCCGCUCUGGGGGCAUAUAAGGUGUACCUCGAGUGAAACUGGCUGAGACACUACACUGCAUCUUCAAAUGGACAGUGGGACGGGGGUCGGAGGCCCAUCAGGAGCCAACAGAACUCACCCAGAAGCAACUCAGGGCACGUCAGGCACUCCCUGGAAGAGUCGAUUUGGCUUUUCCUAUCUGGAUUUCUACAGACUCCCCUGUUACUCUCAGGAUAAAGUCUCAGCUCCUGAGAUGGAUACAAGGUCUUCUGUGGUCUUUCUUCUGCCCACACUUUCAGCCAAAUCUCCCACGAGCCAUGACAAAGCAACUGUGAAUUUCUCAAGACAGAACGAUGUGAGUUGUCGACCUUCUGAAGUCAUACUUCUCAGCCUUGAAUCCCAGCCCUACCCGUUGCCAAAUAUGGAUUCUUGGGCCAGUAACUUAACCGUUCCGUGCCUCAGUUUUAUCUUUUUUGAAACUUUGGCCCUCAAAGGGGCACCUGGGGGACUCAAUCAGUUAAGCGUCCGACUUCAGCUCAGGUCAUGAUCUCAUGGUUCGU